rnacentral:rRNA from 1 species
UUGCAUAUCAAAAAGCGGAGGAAAAGAAACCAACUGGGAUUACCUUAGUAACGGCGAGUGAAGCGGUAAAAGCUCAAAUUUGAAAUCUGGUACUUUCAGUGCCCGAGUUGUAAUUUGUAGAAUUUGUCUUUGAUUAGGUCCUUGUCUAUGUUCCUUGGAACAGGACGUCAUAGAGGGUGAGAAUCCCGUUUGGCGAGGAUACCUUUUCUCUGUAAGACUUUUUCGAAGAGUCGAGUUGUUUGGGAAUGCAGCUCAAAGUGGGUGGUAAAUUCCAUCUAAAGCUAAAUAUUGGCGAGAGACCGAUAGCGAACAAGUACAGUGAUGGAAAGAUGAAAAGAACUUUGAAAAGAGAGUGAAAAAGUACGUGAAAUUGUUGAAAGGGAAGGGCAUUUGAUCAGACAUGGUGUUUUUUGCAUGCACUCGCCUCUCGUGGGCUUGGGCCUCUCAAAAAUUUCACUGGGCCAACAUCAAUUCUGGCAGCAGGAUAAAUCAUUAAGAAUGUAGCUACUUCGGUAGUGUUAUAGCUUUUUGGAAUACUGUUAGCCGGGAUUGAGGACUGCGCUUCGGCAAGGAUGUUGGCAUAAUGGUUAAAUGCCGCCCGUCUUG